rnacentral:rRNA from 1 species
UGGGGAAUAUUGCGCAAUGGGGGAAACCCUGACGCAGCGACGCCGCGUGAGCGAAGAAGGCCUUAGGGUUGUAAAGCUCUGUUUUAGGGGACGAAUGUCGUGGUCAGUAAUAUGGACUACGAAUGACGGUACCCUAAGAGGAAGCCCCGGCUAACUACGUGCCAGCAGCCGCGGUAAGACGUAGGGGGCGAGCGUUGUCCGGAAUUACUGGGCGUAAAGAGCACGUAGGCGGGAACUUAAGUCAGGUGUGAAAGACCGUGGCUCAACCACGGGGUGGCAUUUGAAACUGGGUUUCUUGAGGGCAGGAGAGGAAAGCAGAAUUCCUGGUGUAGCGGUGAAAUGCGUAGAAAUCAGGAGGAAUACCAGUGGCGAAGGCGGCUUUCUGGACUGACCCUGACGCUGAGGUGCGAAAGCGUGGGUAGCAAACAG